rnacentral:rRNA from 1 species
GACGAACGCUGGCGGCGUGCCUAAUACAUGCAAGUGGGACGCAAGGAAACACACUGUGCUUGCACACCGUGUUUUCUUGAGUCGCGAACGGGUGAGUAACGCGUAGGUAACCUGCCUAUUAGCGGGGGAUAACUAUUGGAAACGAUAGCUAAUACCGCAUAAUAUUAAUUAUUGCAUGAUAAUUGAUUGAAAGAUGCAAGCGCAUCACUAGUAGAUGGACCUGCGUUGUAUUAGCUAGUUGGUAAGGUAAGAGCUUACCAAGGCGACGAUACAUAGCCGACCUGAGAGGGUGAUCGGCCACACUGGGACUGAGACACGGCCCAGACUCCUACGGGAGGCAGCAGUAGGGAAUCUUCGGCAAUGGACGAAAGUCUGACCGAGCAACGCCGCGUGAGGGAAGAAGGUUUUCGGAUCGGAAAGCUCUGUUGUAAGUCAAGAACGUGUGUGAGAGUGGAAAGUUCACACAGUGACGGUAGCUUACCAGAAAGGGACGGCUAACUACGUG